rnacentral:snRNA from 1 species
CCGUGCGCUGGAUUAUGA